GGGCUGACCCGGGAAGCUCUGGCCACCCGGAGCCUGUCUCGGCAUUUGUACGGGGGAUAAAGAGACGCUUCCUCCAAGGCUGUUUUCUGAAUUCAGCAGUGCUCAGGGCAGCUGCGAUGGAGUCAGCAGCUACACCAGGACCCUUCUGAGCACCCUGACUCACUGGCUCUGCGGACAACGGGCCGUGUAGGCCGGGACUCCUUCCUCUGAACACUGGCCUGCCCUGGGGCCUCCAGCUUUCCUCAAGGGGCUUCUCAGGUGAAGGCAAGAAAAGCGACAGCAUUGAACUGGAACCCUGUGAGUGCCAGGAGCUUCAGGGGAGGCCUGAGCACCACUGAAGGUGCAGGGAGUGAAGGUGCCAGCACCGCUCUCCAUGGAGGCCACCGAUCGUCCCACCAACAGGAGACGACCUCAAGACUCCUCCCCGGUGUCCUGUCCACCUGCCUCCAGCCGCCCGAGAUGGGCUCUUCCCUGAGGUUUCUGAAGGGACCAGCUUCCAACUGCACACACUGAGUGGGUGCACAAGACUCCCCGACCCGCAGGGACACACACUGAGUGGGUGCACAAGACUUCCCUGACCCGCAGGGACACACACUGCUGAGCUCAGAAGCAUGUUCAUGUCUUCAAAACUCCCUUGUGAGCCAUGUGGCAUCUUAUGUUGGCCUAGAGAUUUCUACUGCUUUUAUAGGACUAAACAGAACACUCAAAAAAUCCAACGUAGGGAUCAAUCCAACUGUAUCAAUAAUAAGUGAACAUCAGGCCGGGCACGGUGGCUCAUGCCUGUAAUCCCAGCACUUUGGGAGGCCGAGGCGGGCGGAUCACCUGAGGUUGGGAGUUCCAGACCUGCUUGGCCAACAUGGCAAAACCCCAUCUCUACUAAAAUUACAAAAUUAGCCGGGCGUGGUGGUGCAUGCCUGUAAUCCCAGCUACUCGGGAGGUGGAGGUUGCAGUGAGCCGAGAUCACGCCACUGCACUCCAGCCUGGGCAACAAGAACGAAACUCUGUUUCAAAAAAACAAAAACAAACAAAACUAAAGACCUAAACAUCAAUGGUCUCCAUGUGCCAAUUACAAGACAGCGUCAGAGAGGAUCCAAGACACCACCCAAGAAGACGUUGCCUCCAAGAAACCACUUUAAACAUGAGCACAUGGAUCAGAAGCGCAGGGAUGGGAGAGAUGCACGCAGCAACCGGUGCCGUGCAGGAGAUGUGGGAGCAGCUACAGCCAUCCACACAAAAGGUCAUCUCCAAUCCGAGGACGGUCAUUAUCCUCAGGCACCGGCUGUAUGCACGCGGUGCCAGGGAAGCUGUGGCAGGUGACUGGGGGAGUUGGAAACGGCCCGGUGACAGCAGAAGUGUGACCCAGCCACGCGUCUGCCACGACCCCGCACACAUGCACCGCCCGCUAACAGGCUGUGGCCAAUCGCGAGUCCAGGAGCCACGCCCAGGCUCUUGUGCUUGGGACACCAUCACAGGGGAGGUCGGCGCAAUCAGUGGCCUCGGAGGACGGGGUGAGGAGUCCCCACUGGGGAUGCCGCAGAGCCCUGCCCUCGGUGCUGUGAGCGGGUCUGGGCAGGUGCUGACCACCCCCCGGGAACUCAGCACAGCACUGACUCCCAGGAGCCUGCUCUGUGCCAGGUGAUGGUGACAGCAAGGGGACAGCAAAGGGCGGGAGGGUCCGUGUGAGACGACCUUCCCUGGGCUGUCUCAGCGCCAGGGUGUGUGAGGUGGCCCUCAGCCUGUCCAGCACCGUCCCCGGCCGCCAGGGCUCUGACGUGACCUGACACGUUGGGUGACAGCACAUGGUGCUUUGGCGAGUACUUGGUGAUCCUGUUUGUUACUGGUUCUGUUACUCUAUGCACUAUUUUUAUUUGUUUCAUUCUAAGAAACAGGAACCCCAGCCUCCCAAGGCCUGGGGACCCGCAGUGGCUCCAGCAGACCCCAGCCUCCCAAGCCCUGGGGACCCACAGUAGCUCCAGCUGCGCCAAAGGCACUCACCGGCUUGCACAGGUCCCGGUCAGUUUUCGCUUCCAUCUCCCAGACAUGGUGGCCAUCUGGAAGAAAGGAGCAGGAAACGUCUGUGACUCUGUGUGGUGGGGAGCCCCCUCCCCAGACACCCCCACGUGAUCCAGACCCAGGGCCCUGAGCCAGGAGGGCGCCUUGUCCCAGGAGACCCACGUAGGCCCAUCCCAGGGCUUUGUCGAGGGCAGCACCUCAGGAGCCACGUGCCCUGGCAGGGCCCCGAGCUCGACACCAAAGUUGCCCUGGGAGCCUGGAGAAGCUGAGGACACGCGGCUCAGGGCUUGUUCUGACCCCAGCCCGGCGUAGGAGGGACUACAGGGCAGGGGCAUCCUCAGGAAUCCGUCCUGGCCCUGCAUCUGCUGGCCUCUCACAGCCUCAGGACAGGUCACGGGAGGGUCUCUAUGCCCUCGUCCUCUCCAGGGAGAGCAGGUGUGAGGGGGAGCAGGUACCCCAUCAGCAGAGCGUGUGCAGGGCGUCUGUGCGUGGACCUGGGACCCGGCUCUGCAGUUCCCAGCCCAGCCUCCCAGGGAUGCAGGAGGUGUGAGAGUAGUGACGGGGGGCCGGGGGCUCCACGCCAGGGUGCGACGCCUGCUCGUGCUGGGGUCUACUCUGGUGGAUGAGGGCCUGGCCGCUGGCCCUGCCUGUGUGCAAAGGAACCACUGGGUAAAUGAGAAGAGCCUUCCUCUGACAACUUCUUGCCCAUCAGGAGACAGAAAUGCAAAACACGAGGUAUUUUUGGCAUUUCCCCAGUGGCCAUUUGCAUGUUUUUAAAAAAUAAAAAGGCUCCCAGAGGUGUAGUGAAAGGACGCGUUGUGCUCUCUGCUCCAGGCCUGGCAGAGUGGGGGCUCCAGGCGCACACGGACAAGGCGGCCCCACCACAGCCUGGGUGUGUGCACGGCCUGGCCCCUCAGAUGGGCUGAGUUUGGGGCAAUUAUCUCAAAUUAACAGAUGUCAAUCUCCUACAG
ensembl:lncRNA novel transcript, antisense to NFATC1